rnacentral:lncRNA from 1 species
AUCAGAAGUUCAACUUUUUUUCUUUUUUGAGAGUUCUUUUAUUUUAUUUAGAAAUAAACUUAGCUAGAAAUAUGAGAAUCAAUUAGGAUUCGAAUUUGGAAGGUAUCUCGGGUACCAACCACCAAGCCCUUUGCCACUUGUGCUAGAGACUGUUGGUAAGGUAAAAAUUUUUCGAACAAUCAAAUUUAGACUUAUUAGCGAAU